rnacentral:rRNA from 1 species
GAUGAACGCUGGCGUCGUGCCUAAUACAUGCAAGUCGAGCGAACGGACGAGAAGCUUGCUUCUCUGAUGUUAGCGGCGGACGGGUGAGUAACACGUGGAUAACCUACCUAUAAGACUGGGAUAACUUCGGGAAACCGGAGCUAAUACCGGAUGAUAUUUUGAACCGCAUGGUUCAAAAGUGAAAGACGGUCUUGCUGUCACUUAUAGAUGGAUCCGCGCUGCAUUAGCUAGUUGGUAAGGUAACGGCUUACCAAGGCAACGAUGCAUAGCCGACCUGAGAGGGUGAUCGGCCACACUGGAACUGAGACACGGGCCAGACUCCUACGGGAGGCAGCAGUAGGGAAUCUUCCGCAAUGGGCGAAAGCCUGACGGAGCAACGCCGCGUGAGUGAUGAAGGUCUUCGGAUCGUAAAACUCUGUUAUUAGGGAAGAACAUAUGUGUAAGUAACUGUGCACAUCUUGACGGUACCUAAGCAGAAAGCCACGGCUAACUACGU